ensembl:misc_RNA 7SK 7SK RNA
UGAGGGCCACCUAGCCAUGACAUCUGUCAUCCCAUUGAUAGUCAGGGUUGACUUCAAUGAUCUGGCUGGCUAAGCAGGGGGACCCUUUUCUCCCUCA